rnacentral:rRNA from 1 species
GACGAACGCUGGCGGCGUGCUUAACACAUGCAAGUCGAACGGAAAGGCCCUGCUUUUGUGGGGUGCUCGAAUGGCGAACGGGUGAGUAACACGUGAGUAACCUGCCCUUGACUUUGGGAUAACUUCAGGAAACUGGGGCUAUACCGGAUAGGAGCUCCUGCUGCAUGGUGGGGGUUGGAAAGUUUCGGCGGUUGGGGAUGGACUCGCGGCUUAUCAGCUUGUUGGUGGGGUAGUGGCUUACCAAGGCUUUGACGGGUAGCCGGCCUGAGAGGGUGACCGGCCACAUUGGGACUGAGAUACGGCCCAGACUCCUACGGGAGGCAGCAGUGGGGAAUAUUGCACAAUGGGCGGAAGCCUGAUGCAGCAACGCCGCGUGCGGGAUGACGGCCUUCGGGUUGUAAACCGCUUUCGCCUGUGACGAAGCGUGAGUGACGGUAAUGGGUGAAGAAGCACCGGCUAACUACGUG